AGUGAACGCUGGCGGCAGGCCUAACACAUGCAAGUCGAACGGCAGCACAGAGGAGCUUGCUCCUUGGGUGGCGAGUGGCGGACGGGUGAGGAAUACAUCGGAAUCUGCCUAUUUGUGGGGGAUAACGUAGGGAAACUUACGCUAAUACCGCAUACGACCUACGGGUGAAAGCGGAGGACCUUCGGGCUUCGCGCAGAUAGAUGAGCCGAUGUCGGAUUAGCUAGUUGGCGGGGUAAAGGCCCACCAAGGCGACGAUCCGUAGCUGGUCCGAGAGGAUGAUCAGCCACACUGGAACUGAGACACGGUCCAGACUCCUACGGGAGGCAGCAGUGGGGAAUAUUGGACAAUGGGCGCAAGCCUGAUCCAGCCAUGCCGCGUGGGUGAAGAAGGCCUUCGGGUUGUAAAGCCCUUUUGUUGGGAAAGAAAAGCAGCCGGUUAAUACCCGGUUGUUCUGACGGUACCCAAAGAAUAAGCACCGGCUAACUUCGUG
rnacentral:rRNA from 1 species